rnacentral:rRNA from 1 species
AUUGAACGCUGGCGGCAUGCUUUACACAUGCAAGUCGAACGGCAGCACGGACUUCGGUCUGGUGGCGAGUGGCGAACGGGUGAGUAAUACAUCGGAACGUGCCCAGUUGUGGGGGAUAACUACUCGAAAGAGUAGCUAAUACCGCAUGAGAACUGAGGUUGAAAGCAGGGGAUCGUAAGACCUUGCGCAACUGGAGCGGCCGAUGGCAGAUUAGGUAGUUGGUGGGAUAAAAGCUUACCAAGCCGACGAUCUGUAGCUGGUCUGAGAGGACGACCAGCCACACUGGGACUGAGACACGGCCCAGACUCCUACGGGAGGCAGCAGUGGGGAAUUUUGGACAAUGGGCGAAAGCCUGAUCCAGCAAUGCCGCGUGCAGGAUGAAGGCCUUCGGGUUGUAAACUGCUUUUGUACGGAACGAAAAGCUUCGGGCUAAUACCCUGGAGUCAUGACGGUACCGUAAGAAUAAGCACCGGCUAACUACGUGCCAGCCGCCGCGGUAAAAC